CCUUACGUGAAGGCGAAAAGACAAACUUCAAGGGCAGCCAAAGCUCCUUUUAUCCGAAGAUGGAGGUAAGAAGAAACAGGGGAAGGAGAGAGGGAAAGAAAAGGGAAUUAGUACUCCCUUGACUAAGAAAUAUUGGUUUCAGAGGUAUAGUCUUUUCUCAAAAGUAUGAUAAAGCAAUUAAAACGGACGAGGAUGGAUGGUAUUCGGUUACUCCAGAAGAGAUAGCCAUUAAGCAUAACAAGAAAUGUGACUGUGGUGGACUUGUCAUUGAUUGCUUUUUCGGUGUCAGUGGUAAUGCCAUCGAAUUUGCUAGACUGAGUUUAAUGAAAAAGGCUCAUUUAAUAAAAAUCUGUGCAAGUCUGGUGAUGGUUUUAUUCAUAUAUGUUGCGGUAUUUUCACCAUAUCUCUGUCUACAGAACUCCAAAUGCAAUGAUUCUUCAACCAUUAGACUUUAAAGAGGAAGGGCUUCAACUUUUAUGUUUACUACUUUACCUAGUUCGGAUUGGAUCACGGUUAAAAUAUUUGUCUAAGUCGGAGUACUACAGCCGUACACAGAGACUAAGCAUGAUGUAGUAUUUGGAGCAUAUCUUUCAAUCCAAAAGUCCAAUUGACAUGAUUCUUAAUUCAUUGAAAAACUAAAAGAUAGAGCCACAACUUUUAUGUUUUUCAGUUUUCCUAGUUCGGACCAGAUUCGGGUGAAAAUCACAUUCAAAGUUGAUAAAUUGCUGUAGCACUAGUAGAAUAAGGUUGCAGUGUUGGAGAAAGGAAACACAAUACAUUUUCCCAAGAGCUCAGUGCUGCAGCAUUGAAGAAGUAGUGCUGCAGCACUGGUUGAUUUUUCAAAAAUAAAAAAUUGACAAGAUUUUGAAAAUUAGGUUACUUGGAGCCUAUUUAAGGGAGCUUUGUUAGAGGUUUAGAGGAGGAGACAGCAACCAACUAUUCUGGAGAUUUGGAACCAAGAACACAGCAAGAAAACAAGAGAAUUUGAGAGAGAAUGGAGAUUAUAAAGCUUCAAUAAUUAGUUUCUUUUUCUACUUUUAUGUUUUUCUUAUUUU